AUGACAGGGGUGAAAGAAGUGUUCCCAGAGGCGGAACAUAGGGAAUGCAUGUUUCACUUGGUGACCAACUUCAAGAAGAAGUUCCAUGGGAAGGUGUUUGAUGACCACCUUUGGGCUGCUGCUUACUCACGGAACCCAUAUUUAUUUGACAAACAUUGGGUUGCUAUGGAGACAACAAAGCCAGCUGCAACUGCAUGUAUAAGGAAGUGGCACAAUAGGUUGUGGUCUAGGAGUCAAUUCUCAACUAUAUGCAAGGUAGACUACGUAACCAACAACCUGGCCGAGAGCUUUAACAAUUGGAUUAAGCACCACAAGUCCUUGAACUUGGAUGACCUCUUUGAUAAGGCGAGACAAUUGAUUAUGAUAUUGUGGAACCGAAGGAGAAAAGUAGCAAAGGAGUUAGAUGGUUUGAUUCUGCCCCACAUAAUUAAGAAGCUGAAUGCAAUGACCAGGGAAUUAAACUUGGAGGUGGUAGAAAGCUCAGAAGAAGUGGCUAAAGUAACUGCAUUAGGUGGUAGUGGCUUUAGGUUUGUGGUCAACUUGCAAGAGGGGACAUGUUCUUGUCGACAAUGGCAAGUUUCUGGCCAUCCUUGCAAACAUGCUCUUGCAUUCAUCACGUCACUUAGCAAUGCACACAUACGACACUAUGUGGACUUGUAUUUCUCCAUUGACAAAUAUAGAGCAGCUUAUGCCCAACUAAUUCCAGCUAUGCCGGACAAGACCCAAUGGCCUAAAUCUGACCAUGGAUUCUUCAUGCAUCCACCACUAUUGAAGGCCACGGCUGGUAGGCGUAAAACUGAGAGGUACAAAGGUUGCGGUGAGAAGAAAAGGAAAAGUGGUCAACACUUAUGCCCUAUUUGUAAGGAAUAUGGGCAUCAUUGGCACAAAUAG
rnacentral:rRNA from 1 species